UACGUAGGGUGCAAGCGUUGUCCGGAAUUAUUGGGCGUAAAGAGCUCGUAGGCGGUCUGUCGCGUCGGAUGUGAAAUCCCGGGGCUUAACUCCGGGUCUGCAUUCGGUACGGGCAUGCUGGAGUUCGGUAGGGGAGACUGGAAUUCCUGGUGUAGCGGUGAAAUGCGCAGAUAUCAGGAGGAACACCGGUGGCGAAGGCGGGUCUCUGGGCCGAUACUGACACUGAGGAGCGAAAGCGUGGGGAGCGAACAGG
rnacentral:rRNA from 1 species